UUUGAAGGUUCAAAUGUCCACACCAGAGUGAGUGUCUUGCUUCUCUCUCUCUCUCUCUCUCUCUCUCUCUCCUGCCUGGGGAUCAGGAUGUAACACUCUCAGCUAAUUUUCUAGCAAUGUGGUAAUGGACUGACCCUCUGAAUUAGCCCCUAAUUAAAUGUUGACUUUUAUAAGUAUUGUCUUGGUCAUGGGGUUUCUUCAUAGCAAUAAAACAAUAAGUAAGAAAAGGAUACCAAAAAUUUUGCCUCUGAAUAAAGUUGAAUUAAUUAUGAAAAAAUCUUUUAAAAAUAAGAAAAAGCUUGAAUUUUGUGCUGGAUACUCCAAUUUGGAUAACCUGGAGUCUAGCUCUCCUUGCCAGCCAAGACUGUUCCUGGAGAACACCCAUAUACACCGCGCCCUCUGCUGGACAUGUUCUUAUCUUCAGUCGUCUCACAAACAGCACAGAAAGGCUAGGACAAUGUAGAGAACAAGAUCAGGGAAUCAUGUCUGCCCUCUAGAGGCUGAAUAGAACCAGGCUGACCCUCCAGAGAAGCCCCUGAGACAAACUGCACCCAGCUAUUUGGAACCACUUGGCACCUGCACUUUAGCCUCCAGAGACACCACCACAUGUGCAUCUCAGUCGUCAGAAUCAUCACCAUCUUCUGGAACAGUGAAACUGUUCCUGGAGGAUAGAGAGUCCAAGGAUCAACCACAACAGCUGCAUGCACCUUGCUGCCACAUGCAGAUGGAUGUACCAUGGUGGCCUGUGGUAAUUAACGCACAAUGGUAGUGAGUGCAUGUGAAUGUACCCUGGUGGUGUGUCCGGGUGAGUGUACUAUGGUGGUAUGUGCAUUUGAAUGCCCCGUAGUGGCGUGUGCAGAUGAAUAUGGCAUGUGCAAGUGAAUGGAGCUGGGGACGGGGUAGAAAGAAAGGAGACAGUGAUGUAGGUAUUAAAGAACCUCGUGCCAGAGGUGAUAUCUCAUGUGAUGCUGGUGAGAGCACUGCAGGUGGAACUGGGCAAGGUGGUGCCUACACCCUUUCUGUUGAUAUGCCAAGAUGUGCCAUUAGUCACUAAUCCUCAGCUACCUUUCAUUCACCUUCCUGAGUCAUGCAUGAGGGAGUAUAUGUACAACUAAAAGAAGUCAGAAACUGAAUGUAAAGCCUUUUAUUGUAUGUUUACAUUUGUAUUUCUCUGUAUGUCUCUGUGUAUGUGGAACAUGUAUGUGGAUAUGCCUGUGGAGGAAACACUGUGUCAGAUACUCUGGAUCUGGAGUGUCAGAUAAUAGUAACCACCUACAUUUGCACUAUCAGGAUUCCUCCCUUCAUACAGUCAGUCCUUAGCUGGGUCCUCACUGGUCACUAACCUCAGCUCCCAGAACUCUCUCGACACUACACUGGACCCUGCAGCUGUGGGAACCCCCAUUCCAUAGUCAGGUGCCUCCUGGGGGUCCUCUGGCUUGGGGCUGUGGGGCAGAAAGUUCUCAGGUAUAGAUAUGUCCUGAACUUGAUCAAAGUCGAAGGGGUCUACUAUGAAAGCCCUAUCAUUUGUAGCAGAAGAGUGCAUGGGCCCUUCAGAGAGCAUAGGCCAGCUGGAGAUCCCUAUGUGGAAAGUGAGUGUCAGGAUGAAAGAAUGUGCAAGCUCUGCGAGAGAAUAUUGACAGAAGCAUCACCUAGGCUUUAGAAACUAAGGAAGACUGGACUACACUUCAGUGGGUUGGGCUACAGGUUAGCUAGCAAGCAAGUGGAACUGCUCUUUGGGUCAAUAAUCUAGCGCAGUUGAGGCAAUCCUCAUUAUCAAUACUCUAAGUACUAAAAUGCUCUAAUUGAAGAAACACAGGUCCUGUACUGUAAGUAUGACCAAGAACCUGUAGUUGCACAGGACCAUUGGGAAACCCAAUAUGAUUUUGCUAAAUGAAUGUAUUACAAACUGUCUUCUAAACUCAAAAGUCUCUACUCAUAGGGAAAGGAGCUCUCAGACAGCUUCAGAGAAGUUGUUUUGUACAGUGAUUGGUGGCUAAUGCAGAAACUCCCAUCUGGUUAGACUGCACAAAGUAAGUGUCUAUGGAUUGCCCACAAAACAUCAAACAUGUCACACACUCUCCCCCCAAGCUCAAGUUCCAUAACAAAAGAAGGGGAUCGAGAGAUUUGAAGAGGCAGAAGACAUUUGCACCAGAGCAAUGUAGUGUUUGAGGGACAUGACAUGGUUAUUAGACUCAUGAACACACAGUAGGUGUCUUUGCCCCUAUGAGACCUGCACAAGAUCAAGCCUGCCAGCACUCUGGCAUGGACUGAGUGGGAAUUCCUGUGCUCUUAACAGUAGGUGGUUUUUGUGGGAGAAAGAGUCCAUUUUAAGAGUAUAGCCUCUGGUAGGUCAAUCAUACUCUAGUGGAUGGUUCUACAUCCCACAGUAUGUAGAUAGCACAAAUUUUCCUUGAGUUUUGUUUAUUUUUAAAUAACAUAAAAAAGGUAUGGUGGUUUUGAGAAAAACUGUGAGGAAAGAUGUUCUAUAUUCAUUAAAUAAAAGGGUGGGGUAUGUGCGAAUAUGUUUAAAAUCAAUUAUAUAAAAUCCUCAAAGAAUUAAAUAAAUACCAUAUUGACAAACAGUAACUUAUGAUAAGGAAUAGGAAUUAGAUUGCAGCCAACCUGCCAAGUUGGAAUCAUUCUCUCCAGAGGCAAGGCUUCCUUCUACAUUAUGAAUACUUAUUGUCACUGAUGUCAGCU
rnacentral:lncRNA from 1 species